GUAACGAGCGCCAACCCUUGUCCUUAGUUACCAGCACGUUAAUGGUGGGGCACUCUAAGGAGACUGCCGGUGACAAACCGGAGGAAGGUGGGGAUGACGUCAAGUCAUCAUGGCCCUUACGGCCUGGGCUACACACGUGCUACAAUGGUCGGUACAAAGGGUUGCCAAGCCGCGAGGUGGAGCUAAUCCCAUAAAACCGAUCGUAGUCCGGAUCGCAGUCUGCAACUCGACUGCGUGAAGUCGGAAUCGCUAGUAAUCGUGAAUCAGAAUGUCACGGUGAAUACGUUCCCGGGCCUU
rnacentral:rRNA from 1 species